GACGAACGCUGGCGGCGUGCUUUAGGCAUGCAAGUCGAACGCGAUAGCCCCUUCGGGGGUGAGUAGAGUGGCGAACGGGUGAGUAACACGUGGGUAACCUGCCCCUCGCAGGGGGAUAACCGGGGGAAACCCCGGCUAAUACCCCGUACGCUUGCUGGGGCGCAUGCUCCGGCAAGGAAAGGUAGCUUCGGCCAUCCGGCGAGGGAGGGGCCCGCGGCCCAUUAGCUAGUUGGUGGGGUAACGGCCCACCAAGGCGACGAUGGGUAGCUGGCCUGAGAGGGUGGUCAGCCACACUGGGACUGAGACACGGCCCAGACUCCUACGGGAGGCAGCAGCCAGGAAUCUUGCGCAAUGGGCGAAAGCCUGACGCAGCAACGCCGCGUGGGCGAUGAAGGCCUGCGGGUCGUAAAGCCCUGUUGUCGGGGACGAAGGGCGAAGGGUUAAUAGCCCCUAGCCUGACGGUACCCGACGAGGAAGCCCCGGCUAACUACGUG
rnacentral:rRNA from 1 species